rnacentral:rRNA from 1 species
GCUGGCGGCAGGCCUAACACAUGCAAGUCGAGCGGUAACAGGAAUUAGCUUGCUAAUUCGCUGACGAGCGGCGGACGGGUGAGUAAUGCCUGGGAAUAUGCCUUAGUGUGGGGGAUAACUAUUGGAAACGAUAGCUAAUACCGCAUAACGUCUUCGGACCAAAGAGGGGGACCUUCGGGCCUCUCGCGCUAAGAUUAGCCCAGGUGGGAUUAGCUAGUUGGUGAGGUAAAGGCUCACCAAGGCAACGAUCCCUAGCUGGUCUGAGAGGAUGAUCAGCCACACUGGAACUGAGACACGGUCCAGACUCCUACGGGAGGCAGCAGUGGGGAAUAUUGCACAAUGGGGGAAACCCUGAUGCAGCCAUGCCGCGUGUAUGAAGAAGGCCUUCGGGUUGUAAAGUACUUUCAGUCGUGAGGAAGGCAUUGUAGUUAAUAGCUGCAGUGCUUGACGUUAGCGACAGAAGAAGCACCGGCUAACUCCGUG